AGGUGAGAUGCACAAUUAAUAAAAUAAAGACACCUAAUCUUACAUAAAAGAGCUGUUCAUAUUAAUAGCAUAAAACAAUUAGAAUUCAUGAUAUUUUCUUACUAAAACAACUACUUGAAAACUUAAUUCUAAUAACAAUGUAGUGUAAUCAGUGAUCAUCAAUUCAUGCAAGUAGAUUAGUGGGCAGCUGAAUCUUCUUAAAAAAGGUGUGAAAAUGGGAAAAAAACUGAGAGGAUUGAGAGGCAGCAGAGGUAGAAUGAGGCUAAGGGAGUGAGGAAAGUUGUAGAAUAGAUGAGAAAAUGAAGGGAAGAAAGGAGUGGGUGAAAGGAUGGAUAGAUGGGAAGCAGCAGAGGUAGACUGAAGAAAAGGGGGUGGGUGAAAGAGUAUAAUAGAUUUAGCAAAUUUCAUAAGAGACAGACAAAAAAACCUAUUAUGUAAUUUUUUUCCUUUUUGCCUUAUAUGGGAAAUGACAAAAAAGUAUCCUGUGGUUUUCCGCAUUUUAACUUUAAGGUCUGAGAUUAAGUUUGUGACAAAAUGAUACCCUAUGGUUACACACCGUUAGCAAAGAGAGGUGGGUGAAAGAGUAUAAUAGAUUUAGCAAAUUUCAUAAGAGACAGACAAAAAAACCUAUUAUGUAAUUUUUUUCCUUUUUGCCUUAUAUGGGAAAUGACAAAAAAGUAUCCUGUGGUUUUCCGCAUUUUAACUUUAAGGUCUGAGAUUAAGUUUGUGACAAAAUGAUACCCU
rnacentral:misc_RNA from 1 species